GAUGAACGCCGGCGGUGUGCCUAAUACAUGCAAGUCGAGCGCACUGGCCCAACUGAUAUGACGUGCUUGCACUGAAUUGACGUUGGAUUCCCAGUGAGCGGCGGACGGGUGAGUAACACGUGGGCAACCUGCCCUGAAGCGGGGGAUAACAUCUGGAAACAGGUGCUAAUACCGCAUAACAACGAAAACCGCAUGGCUUUCGUUUCAAAGAUGGUUUCGGCUAUCACUUCAGGAUGGGCCCGCGGUGCAUUAGCUAGUUGGUAAGGUAACGGCUUACCAAGGCGAUGAUGCAUAGCCGAGUUGAGAGACUGAUCGGCCACAAUGGAACUGAGACACGGUCCAUACUCCUACGGGAGGCAGCAGUAGGGAAUCUUCCACAAUGGGCGCAAGCCUGAUGGAGCAACACCGCGUGAGUGAAGAAGGGUUUCGGCUCGUAAAGCUCUGUUGUUGGAGAAGAACGUGCGUGAGAGUAACUGUUCACGCAGUGACGGUAUCCAACCAGAAAGUCACGGCUAACUACGUGCCAGCAGCCGCGGUAAUACGUAGGUGGCAAGCGUUAUCCGGAUUUAUUGGGCGUAAAGCGAGCGCAGGCGGUUGUUUAGGUCUGAUGUGAAAGCCUUCGGCUUAACCGAAGAAGUGCAUCGGAAACCGGGCGACUUGAGUGCAGAAGAGGACAGUGGAACUCCAUGUGUAGCGGUGGAAUGCGUAGAUAUAUGGAAGAACACCAGUGGCGAAGGCGGCUGUCUGGUCUGCAACUGACGCUGAGGCUCGAAAGCAUGGGUAGCGAACAGG
rnacentral:rRNA from 1 species